CACAACCAAGGGGAGAAAACCUGUGGUGGCUGUGAAGGUCCUGAUGCCAUGUAUGUCAAACUGGUAUCUUCCGAUGGUCAUGAAUUUAUUGUAAAAAGAGAACAUGCAGCGCUAAGCGCGGUGGGUCACAGCACUUUGGGAGGCUGAGGCAGGCAGAUCACGAGGUCAGGAGUUCGAGACCAGCCUGACCAACAUGGUGAAACCCUGUCUCUACUAAAAAUACAAAAAUUAGCUGGGCCUGGUGGUGCGCGCCUAUAAUCCCAGCUACUCAGGAGGCGGGGCAGGAGAAUCGCUUGAACCUAGGAGGCGGAGGUUGCAGUGAGCUGAGAUCACGCCACUGCACUCCAGCCUGGGCUACAGGAGCAAGACUCCAUUUCAAAAAAAAAGAGAGAACAUGCACUAACAUGAGGAACAAUCAAAAGGCCAUGCUGAAGCCAAAACCAUGUUGAAUGACCCAGAUCAGUUUGCUGAGAAUGAACUCAUUGAGAGCAAUUUUAGAGAGGUCUGUUCAUGUGUGCUAUCAAAAGUAUGUAUGUAUUGUUUUUACCUACGAGAUUCACUAAACUAACAGUUCCACUGAAAUUUCUGAAUUCCCAAUUGCACUUGAUAUUGCACUAGAACCGCUGAUGCAG
rnacentral:lncRNA from 10 species